rnacentral:rRNA from 1 species
GGUCCAGACUCCUACGGGAGGCAGCAGUAGGGAAUCUUCCGCAAUGGGCGAAAGCCUGACGGAGCAACGCCGCGUGAGUGAUGAAGGUCUUCGGAUCGUAAAACUCUGUUAUUAGGGAAGAACAUACGUGUAAGUAACUAUGCACGUCUUGACGGUACCUAAUCAGAAAGCCACGGCUAACUACGUGCCAGCAGCCGCGGUAAUACGUAGGUGGCAAGCGUUAUCCGGAAUUAUUGGGCGUAAAGCGCGCGGAGGCGGUUUUUUAAGUCUGAUGUGAAAGCCCACGGCUCAACCGUGGAGGGUCAUUGGAAACUGUAAAACUUGAGUGCAGAAGAGGAAAGUGGAAUUCCAUGUGUAGCGGUGAAAUGCGCAGAGAUAUGGAGGAACACCAGUGGCGAAGGCGACUUUCUGGUCUGUAACUGACGCUGAUGUGCGAAAGCGUGGGGAUCAAACAGGAUUAGAUACCCUGGUAGUCCACGCCGUAAACGAUGAGUGCUAAGUGUUAGGGGGUUUCCGCCCCUUAGUGCUGCAGCUAACGCAUUAAGCACUCCGCCUGGGGAGUACGACCGCAAGGUUGAAACUCAAAGGAAUUGACGGGGACCCG